AGGACGAACGCUGGCGGCGUGCUUAACACAUGCAAGUCGAGCGAACCUUCGGGUUAGCGGCGAACGGGUGAGUAACACGUGGGCAACCUGCCCCAAGCUCUGGGAUAACCUCCGGAAACGGGGACUAAUACCGGAUAUGACUCUGGAAGACAUCUUCUUGAGUGGAAAGUUUUUCGGCUUGGGAUGGGCCCGCGGCCUAUCAGCUUGUUGGUGGGGUAACGGCCUAUCAAGGCGACGACGGGUAGCCGGCCUGAGAGGGCGACCGGCCACACUGGGACUGAGACACGGCCCAGACUCCUACGGGAGGCAGCAGUGGGGAAUAUUGCGCAAUGGGCGAAAGCCUGACGCAGCGACGCCGCGUGAGGGAUGAAGGCCUUCGGGUUGUAAACCUCUUUCAGCAGGGACGAAGCGAAAGUGACGGUACCUGCAGAAGAAGCACCGGCCAACUACGUGCCAGCAGCCGC
rnacentral:rRNA from 1 species